AGUCGGCCAAUUGGUGCCAAAGAGGGACAGAACUUUCUUUAUGUAUGCCACAACAGCAGCAAGAAUACUCAUUGCAAAGUAUUGGAAGACACAAGAUCUACCCACCUUGGAAGAAUGGCAGAUGAAGGUGAUGGACUAUAUGGAAUUGGCGGAAAUGACUGGCAGAAUCCGAGACCAGGGAGAAGAGUCGAUGGAGGAAGAUUGGAAAAAGUUUAAAGACUAUCUACAGAAAUAUUGUAAAAUUAAUGAAUGCUAGAAUGAUGUUGGAUAGAAACUAAGUGAACUUUAGCUGAAAGGUUACAAGGAAUAUGAAAAAAUGGAUUAUUAAUAUGUAAAAAUCUAAAACUACAAUACUUUAUGAUUAAUGAUUAGGAUACAUAAAGAGGGGAGGGAUUUGCUGAACGAAAUAAUUGAACUGGAAUAC